UACGUAGGGGGCUAGCGUGGUCCGGAAUCAUUGGGCGUAAAGAGCGUGUAGGCGGUCCGGUAAGUCCGCUGUGAAAGUCGGGGGCUCAACCCUCGAAUGCCGGUGGAUACUGUCGGGCUAGAGUGCGGAAGAGGCGAGUGGAAUUCCUGGUGUAGCGGUGAAAUGCGCAGAUAUCAGGAGGAACACCUAUUGCGAAGGCAGCUCGCUGGGACGUUACUGACGCUGAGACGCGAAAGCGUGGGGAGCGAACAGG
rnacentral:rRNA from 1 species